rnacentral:lncRNA from 1 species
AGAGUUAAAUAAUUGCCCACAGUCUUUCAGAAAUCUUAAAAGUUUGAGAAGAAAAUAUGGUAAAUAACUAAGAGAAAUCUCUGGUCAAUACUCAACAAGUCCUUCAGUCCAACAAUAUUCCAUACAUGAAAUCCUGCCAAAAACCAGACUCAGCACCAAACACACGAGAUGAAACAUAAGAUGCAUAAACACAACCCUUGCCUUUGAAGAAAAUUUGCACUAAUGGCAGAGAUGGGUGCUGUAUGAGUGAGCUGUGGCUGCCAUAGCAAGACAUCAUAGAUUGGAUGGCUUAAACAACAGAAAUUUAUUUUUUCACAGUUCUGGAGGCCAGAAAUCCCCAAUAAAGGUACUGACUGAUUAGGUGAGGGCUUUAUUUCUGCUGACAGACAACCACCUUCUUGUUGAGUUUUUAUACGGUCUUUUCUCUGUGGCUCAUAGAGAGAGACAGAGAGAGCUCUGGUGUUUUUUCCUCUUCUUAUUAGGACACCAGUCCUGUAUCACUAAGGCUCCAUCCUGAUGAUUCCACUUAGCCAGUAACUAUGGGAAUUAGGGCUUCAACAUACAAAUUUAGAGAAAUGUGAUUCCGUUCAUAACAGGUGCUUAACUAGAAUUCUGUAUGCACAUUGUUUUAUGAAAAAGCGACAUGAAACCUAAGGAUUUACUGUCUGUUGUAGAAUUUCUCAUAUAAAGAAGAACCUGAGGCAAGUACAGAAAUGUUACCUCCCUACCUUCUCAUUGGAAAGCAGCUCACAGAGAAUACAAUAGUUCUACCCACUAUGCCCGUAUAAUGCAAUGAUAUAUAUCCGUCACUAAAAUCUCCAUGCUUGUCUCACCCAACGUCUCAAACUAUGCUAUAACUAUUGGCGGAUCUCACAUAAUUGAGCAAUCUGAAUGAUGGAAUUGUACACUAGUUGAAUACAGGAGAUACUAUUUUACAUAGCACAGCAAAGCUCUCCCAUAACUCUACAAAUAGGGCUGAAAAAAUCAAAUACGUAAAAUGCAGCGUCAUGUUAUUGCAUGGUUAAUAAAAUUACUGACUCUUCUCAGCUAUCUGAGUGUUUUAGGUUCCUGAGAGCCAAGUCAGUCAUGUCAUUUCCGAAUUUUGGUGAUCAAAGGGUGGAUGAUCACAGUUUUACUCCAUUUCAACUUGAUUAUUAGUUACAUUAAAAAAAGGUUUUUCUAUGUGUGCUGUGAGACUGAUUCUCAUUUAGUAUGGUUUCAUUAAAAAUUAGGAUCCCUUUUUCCCUCUUGGUUAAGCCAGUAAGAUUGUAGAUUGUCAGACUCUGCCUUGUUCUUUUCCUGAAAUCCAAAGGUAAAAUGCAGUAACGAGAGUAGGGAUGCCAAUAAUGUGGAGGCAAGGAAAAAGCAGCUCCAGGGACAACAUCGGGAAGCGCGAUAGGAUGUUGGCUAAAAAGCUUGCUUUUUCACGUUAUGUCAGAUUUCACAUUCUAACUUCAUCAUUUCCUGGUUAAAGCAUCUUGAACAAAUCACUUUUUGAAUCACUUAGCACCAUGGCUUCUACAUUUCAAGCCCCAAAGGGUAGGAAUUAUUAUUAUUAAUGCUAUUACCAAAGAUGCUAACAAAGGAAAGGGUUUUCACUGUCCAACAUGGUUCAUGUUUAUGAAAUAUUUAUAAAUGGUGCUCACAUUCAAGAGCAAGCCUGUAGAGAUCUUUGGGCAAAUGCCUUGUUAAAGAGAAUUAAUCUAAAUAUUGUUUGUCAUUUGCUCAAGUACACUAAUUCUAUUAGUCUCAACUAUUCAAGGAUAAUCAUUGAAGGCCUAACUCCACAGGAACUGGAUUGAAGAUAAGAUUGGAGGACCACAAUUUCACCAGUACGUUACUUAGAAUAAGCAACUAGGUCCUCACAACAAUCCCUAUUUUCCAGAUGAGAGUGUUGAGGCUCAGAGAGGUAAGCAAAUUGUUUAACUUAUUCCAGCUCUCAAG